UUACGGUUACCUUGUUACGACUUACUCCCCCUUGCUGACCGAAGUUCGAGCGCCCCGGAUGAGGCACCCUCACUCCGACCCCUGUCGGAUGAGUUGACGGUCGGUGUGUGCAAAGAGCAGGGGCACAUUCACCGCGGGAUGUUGACCCGCGAUUACUACGGAAUCCAUUUUCACGAGGGCUAGUUGCAGCCCUCGAUCCAAACUACGAUGGGGUUUCAAGAUUGCCUCCCCCUUUGGAGGUCGGGUCCCAUUGUCCCCACCUUUGUAGCGCGCGUGUUGCCCGGAAGAUUCGGGGCAUACGGACCUACCGGAGACCUCUCCUUCCUCUGCCUUAACGGCCGCGAUCCCGCUAGUGUGCUCCUACAAUCGCUUGUAUAAUCGCGACUAACGGCGAGGGUCUCGUUCGUUAUCUGACUUACUUAAACGCCUUACGGUACAAACUGACUAAGGACAUGCACGACCUCUCGGAGAAUCGGGCAAGGUCUUCAGCCUGGCUUUCCUCCCUCCGUCGCCUCCGGGGAGUUUUCCGGCGUUGAAUCCAAUUGAACCGCACGCUCCUCCCGUUGCGGUGCUCUCCGGCCAAUUCCUUUAAGUUUCAGUCUUGCGACCGUACUGCGACCGUACUCCACUCAACACCUUCUCUCCGGCACUGGUAGCCCACUGAAGACGCCCAACGCCAAGUCAGCAGCGUAUAUCCCUAGACUACCGGAGUAUCAGAGUCCCGUUUGCGCGCUAGCGCUUCACGCUUCACUGCAUGAAUUCUCUCUAAUGUGAACAGCGGGGCUCCACUGGUGCAUCCGCCAUUGCAUCACAGGCAUCUUUACCAUUUACACUGCGAAAAACGGUACAUUCUACUCCCGAUCUCACAGCACUACUCAGCUGUGCUCAGGUACUAAACG
rnacentral:rRNA from 1 species